rnacentral:rRNA from 1 species
UGGGGAAUCUUGCGCAAUGCACGAAAGUGUGACGCAGCAACGCCGCGUGCGGGAAGAAGGUCUUCGGAUCGUAAACCGCUUUCAGUUGGGACGAGGGUUGCACGGUGAAUAGCCGGCGUAACUGACGGUACCUUCAGAAGAAGCCCCGGCUAACUACGUGCCAGCAGCCGCGGUAAUACGUAGGGGGCAAGCGUUAUCCGGAAUCAUUGGGCGUAAAGCGCGUGUAGGCGGUUCAGUAAGUCCGCUCUGAAAGCCCAGGGCUCAACCCUGGGAGGCGGGUGGAUACUACUGGACUAGAGUACGGAAGAGGAGAUUGGAAUUCCUGGUGUAGCGGUGAAAUGCGCAGAUAUCAGGAGGAACACCAACAGCGAAGGCAGAUCUCUGGGACGUAACUGACGCUGAGACGCGAAAGCGUGGGGAGCAAACA